GCAGUCGCCGCGGUAAUACAGAGGGUGCGAGCGUUAAUCGGAUUUACUGGGCGUAAAGCGUGCGUAGGCGGCUUCUUAAGUCGGAUGUGAAAUCCCUGAGCUUAACUUAGGAAUUGCAUUCGAUACUGGGAAGCUAGAGUAUGGGAGAGGAUGGUAGAAUUCCAGGUGUAGCGGUGAAAUGCGUAGAGAUCUGGAGGAAUACCGAUGGCGAAGGCAGCCAUCUGGCCUAAUACUGACGCUGAGGUACGAAAGCAUGGGGAGCAAACAGGAUUAGAUACCCGCGUAGUCCCUGUCUCUUAUAC
rnacentral:rRNA from 1 species